rnacentral:lncRNA from 1 species
AUCGUUUCCAAAAACUUCUGGUCUCUGGCAACUAUCCACCCUCCUCAGUCGUCCGUACGUCAUUCGUAAACUUUACGACACUUGUUGCCGUGCUAUAUUCUAAUACUUUAUUUUUAUUUGAUCUUAUUUUAUCAGCAUAUCUCGUCGCUAAUUGGUGUGCCGCUCUGUUGCCUUGCCUGCCUACUCAGGCAAUGGCAAUGUCGGGUUUGGUGGCUAGGAGCAUUCUACGUUUCUCUAUGAUGACGCCAUACUCGAAACGAUCUCUCUCAGCAGACAUCAAAGUCGUCUUCACUUUUUAUACCACGAACGAAUGAAAUAAUAUACUGUAGAACACUGCGACAAUCGAGUAAUUCUGAGAUACGCAUCCUGAAAACCUGCCCGUGAUGGCAAUCUUAACCUCCCCCGUUUAUGCCCUUACUAACCAUCACGUGCCUUUUUCAAACGCCGUUUAACUUCGCCGAAGAAGACAAAUAAAACUUGUGAUAAUUAAAUGCACCUUAAUACAUUUAUAUUUUGUAU